AUGAGCACAACCACUAACAGCAGCAAUGGUACAACUUGUUCAAGUGAGAGUGGAAGUGAAUGUGAGGUUGAAUCUGACAUAAAGAAGAUGGAGCUCGGGAAGAAAAAGCUUCAGCAAUACAUGUAUGUUGCAUUUGUGGUCGCCAUGCACAAUCAAAAGUAUCUUAUGAAGAAAGAAAGGAGAGAGGUAAGAUGCACAGGACAACAGUGGGGAUAUGAUUGCUUGGGUUCUUUGAAAGAUUGCUACAUGAUGUUUCGUAUGCAUAGGCCAUGUUUUGACUUAUUACAUGAGACUUUGGUACACAACUAUGGUUUGCGAGCAACAUGCAACAUGUGUUCCGAGGAGGCUCUAUGGAUGUUCUUGUGGACUAUUGGUAGCCCACAAUCAGUGAGCCAAGUUUAG
rnacentral:rRNA from 1 species